CACGUAGGGCGCAAGCGUUGUCCGGAAUUAUUGGGCGUAAAGAGCUCGUAGGCGGCCUGUCACGUCUGCUGUGAAAAGCUAGGGCUUAACCCUGGCCUUGCAGUGGAUACGGGCAGACUAGAGGUAGGUAGGGGAGAAUGGAAUUCCCGGUGUAGCGGUGAAAUGCGCAGAUAUCGGGAGGAACACCGGUGGCGAAGGCGGUUCUCUGGGCCUUACCUGACGCUGAGGAGCGAAAGCGUGGGGAGCGAACAGG
rnacentral:rRNA from 1 species